AGAGUUUGAUCCUGGCUCAGAACGAACGCUGGCGGCAGGCUUAACACAUGCAAGUUGAACGUGAUUUGCUGGGUGCUUGCACCGAGCAAUGAAAGUAGCGCACUGGUGAGUAACACGUGGGAACGUACCUUUUGGUGGGGAACAACAGUUGGAAACGACUGCUAAUACCGCAUAAGCCCUGAGGGGGAAAGAUUUAUCGCCGAAAGAACGGCCCGCGGAAGAUUAGGUAGUUGGUGGGGUAACGGCCUACCAAGCCGACGAUCUAUAGCUGGUCUGAGAGGACGAUCAGCCACAUUGGAACUGAGACACGGUCCAAACUCCUACGGGAGGCAGCAGUGAGGAAUAUUGGGCAAUGGAGGCAACUCUGACCCAGCCAUGCCGCGUGAGUGAAGAAGGUUUUCGGAUUGUAAAGCUCUUUCGGGUGUGACGAUGAUGACGGUAGCACCUAAAGAAGCCCCGGCUAACUUCGUGCCAGCAGCCGCGGUAAUACGAAGGGGGCAAGCGUUGUUCGGAAUUACUGGGCGUAAAGGGAGUGUAGGCGGUUAUGUAAGAUAGUGGUGAAAUCCCAGAGCUUAACUUUGGAAUUGCCAUUAUGACUAUGUGGCUAGAAUUACAGAGAGGAUAGUGGAAUACCCAGUGUAGAGGUGAAAUUCGUAGAUAUUGGGUAGAACACCAGUGGCGAAGGCGACUAUCUGGCUGUAUAUUGACGCUGAGGCUCGAAAGCAUGGGGAUCAAACAGGAUUAGAUACCCUGGUAGUCCAUGCUGUAAACGAUGAGUGCUUGUUGUCGGUAUUGUAUCGGUGACGAAGUUAACGCGUUAAGCACUCCGCCUGGGGAGUACGGUCGCAAGAUUAAAACUCAAAGGAAUUGACGGGGACCC
rnacentral:rRNA from 2 species